GCUUGCGUAGCUCAAUGGCAGAGCUGCGGUCCCGUAAACCGCUGACGCCGGUUCGACUCCGGCCGUAAGCUCCA
rnacentral:tRNA from 1 species